rnacentral:rRNA from 1 species
GAUGAACGCUGGCGGCGUGCUUAACACAUGCAAGUCGAACGGUGAAGGCGGAGCUUGCUCUGCUGGAUCAGUGGCGAACGGGUGAGUAACACGUGAGCAAUCUGCCCCUGACUCUGGGAUAAGCGCUGGAAACGGCGUCUAAUACUGGAUACGAGCUGCGAAGGCAUCUUCAGCAGCUGGAAAGAAUUUCGGUCAGGGAUGAGCUCGCGGCCUAUCAGCUUGUUGGUGAGGUAAUGGCUCACCAAGGCGUCGACGGGUAGCCGGCCUGAGAGGGUGACCGGCCACACGGGGACUGAGACACGGCCCAGACUCCUACGGGAGGCAGCAGUGGGGAAUAUUGCACAAUGGGCGAAUGCCUGAUGCAGCAACGCCGCGUGAGGGACGACGGCCUUCGGGUUGUAAACCUCUUUUAGCAGGGAAGAAGCGAAAGUGACGGUACCUGCAGAAAAAGCGCCGGCUAACUACGUG